CAUGCAAGUCGAACGAUCCCUUCGGGGAUAGUGGCGCACGGGUGCGUAACGCGUGGGAAUCUGCCCUUGGGUUCGGAAUAACUUCUGGAAACGGAAGCUAAUACCGGAUGAUGACGUAAGUCCAAAGAUUUAUCGCCCAAGGAUGAGCCCGCGUAGGAUUAGCUAGUUGGUGAGGUAAAGGCUCACCAAGGCGACGAUCCUUAGCUGGUCUGAGAGGAUGAUCAGCCACACUGGGACUGAGACACGGCCCAGACUCCUACGGGAGGCAGCAGUAGGGAAUAUUGGACAAUGGGGGAAACCCUGAUCCAGCAAUGCCGCGUGAGUGAUGAAGGCCUUAGGGUUGUAAAGCUCUUUUACCCGGGAUGAUAAUGACAGUACCGGGAGAAUAAGCUCCGGCUAACUCCGUGCCAGCAGCCGCGGUAAUACGGAGGGAGCUAGCGUUGUUCGGAAUUACUGGGC
rnacentral:rRNA from 1 species